rnacentral:rRNA from 1 species
CGGGAGGCAGCAGUGGGGAAUCUUGCGCAAUGGGGGAAACCCUGACGCAGCAACGCCGCGUGGGUGAUGAAGGCCUUCGGGUCGUAAAGCCCUGUCAGGUGGGAAGAAACAUGUCGAUGCAAAUAGUAUCGACAUUUGACGGUACUACCGGAGGAAGCACCGGCUAACUCCGUGCCAGCAGCCGCGGUAAUACGGAGGGUGCAAGCGUUGUUCGGAAUUAUUGGGCGUAAAGCGCGUGCAGGCGGUUGGGUAAGUCAGAUGUGAAAGCCUUCCGCUUAACGGAAGAAGUGCAUUUGAAACUGCUCAGCUAGAGUACGGGAGAGGAGAGUGGAAUUCCCGGUGUAGAGGUGAAAUUCGUAGAUAUCGGGAGGAACACCAGUGGCGAAGGCGGCUCUCUGGUCCGAUACUGACGCUCAUGGACGAAAGCCAGGGGAGCGAAAGGGAUUAGAUACCCCUGUAGUCCUGGCCGUAAACGAUGAACACUAGGUGUCGGGGGAAUCGACCCCCUCGGUGUCGUAGCCAACGCGUUAAGUGUUCCGCCUGGGGAGUACGCACGCAAGUGUGAAACUUAAAGGAAUUGACGG